GAAUGAUACCGCAUCCGGCAAUCGGCCCUUCCUGAUCUCGCAGUACUGCAAUGUUGCAAUUUCAAUAAAUUUGUCCACUUGCUCAAAGUUCACAGCAAACGCAGAUUCCAAGGAUUUUGUAUAAAUUAACAUUCUUUGUUGUAAGAGAAGCCAAGCCGGAAACCACGUUCCUGUUACACCUUCCUAAAGAAGUAUAAUAUACAUCAUAAUCGUACAGAGAAAAAAAAAA